AGGAGGAGGUGAAGGUGGAGGUGGAAGUGGAGGUGGAGAAGGAGAAGGAGGAGGAGGUGAAGGUGGAGGAGGAGGUAACUUUAUUCUCUCACAGUCCUCAUAUAAGGCAACCACGAGGUCUGUUUUUUUUUCUUUUUUAAAGGAGGAGGAGCAGGAACAAAGAAACACAAAGAGAGAACAAACAACAGCAGGCCUGCUGGUCCUUACGAGGCUGUUUGUGAUAAGCUACACUAACUAUCUAAUCAAAGGUGGAAGAUGAAGGACAGCAAAGGCGAAGGCCGUGGUGAGCAAAUCAGGGAAGUAAAGUAACGGAACAGGCCGAGGCAGCAACACUAUAAUAUAGUCGCCAAGUCAGUCAGUUCGGGGCCUCGCCAUUCGCGCCAAUCCCGGGCAGAAUCUUGGCGGUUCAGUCUCCUUCCUUCGCCCUGUCAACUUCCCACUUUCGUCACAUCACUUUCCUUCCUUCCCUCGUUCCUUCCUUCCUUCCUUCCUUCCCUCGUUGUUGCUUUCCUUCCUUCCUUCCCUCGUUCCUUCCUUCGUCCUGUCAUCUUUCUCCAUCCUCCCUUCCUCCUGUCACCUUCCCCCCUUUAUUCCUCCCUUCCUCUGUCACCUUCCUUUGGCCUUCGUCCUGCCAUCCUUGAUCCAACAAAAACGGUCUCCGGCGCCUUCACUGUAUUUUCGAUUGAUUUUAAUUAAUCCCGUCUGGAAUUUUAAGAGGCUCAUCUUGCUAUCCACCCUCCUCGCCUCGCGGGGCUGGGGAGCGUCAGGGGGCCCAAGGCCUUCCUGGCGAGCGUCGCAGGGCUCAGGGCUCCGGCAGGGCGCCUCGGCUCCCCCGGAGCGUCCACGGAGGUGUCGGAGAUCCCGAGGGUCCGGGGUUGGGGGGGCGUGAAGUGGCAGCAAGACAUGCAGUUACUGACCUCUUAUUAGCCAGACGACGCGUUAAUGACACGUUCCAAUGGAAGGUUCGACGCAUGGGGAGGUACAAUUCCCCUAAGCAAGGCAAGUGUCAUGCCAACUACGAUAAAAAACGAAAAAUCCAAAAAAAAUACAAAAACAAAAAAUCCAAAAAAAAUUGUCUUGUUUUGCUUUGUUUAAAGCGUCUUGUAUGUUGGUAUGGCGGGUCUUCUCUGGGGAGAAGGAGACUAACGCGUUCCAACAUACAAAACCAGGAAAAGACGACAUGGAAACACCGAGAGAAGGAAGGGAAAGAAGGGAACACCAGAAGAAGGAAAAUGAAGAGAAGUAACACUAGAAGAAGGCAUAUGAAGUAACACAAGAAGAAGGAAGUUGAAAAGAGUAACACAAGAAGAGGGAAUUUGAAAAGAGUUACACAGAAGAAGGUAUUGAAAAGAGUUACACAGAAGAAGGUAUUGAAAAGAGUUACACAGAAGAAGGUAUUGAAAAGAGUUACACAGAAGAAGGUAUUGAAAAGAGUUACACAGAAGAAGGUAUUGAAAAGAGUUACACAGAAGAAGGUAUUGAAAAGAGUUACACAGAAGAAGGUAUUGAAAAGAGUUACACAGAAGAAGGUAUUGAAAAGAGUAACACAGAAGAAGGUAUUGAAAAGAGUUACACAGAAGAAGGUAUUGAAAAGAGUAACACAGAAGAAGGUAUUGAAAAGAGUUACACAGAAGAAGGUAUUGAAAAGAGUUACACAGAAGAAGGUAUUGAAAAGAGUUACACAGAAGAAGGUAUUGAAAAGAGUUACACAGAAGAAGGUAUUGAAAAGAGUUACACAGAAGAAGGUAUUGAAAAGAGUUACACAGAAGAAGGUAUUGAAAAGAGUAACACAGAAGAAGGUAUUGAAAAGAGUUACACAGAAGAAGGUAUUGAAAAGAGUUACACAGAAGAAGGUAUUGAAAAGAGUUACACAGAAGAAGGUAUUGAAAAGAGUUACACAGAAGAAGGAAUUUGAAAAGAGUAACACAGAAGAAGGUAUUGAAAAGAGUUACACAGAAGAAGGAAUUUGAAAAGAGUAAAACAAGAAGAAGGAAUUUGAUGAUAAAUAACACAAGAAGAAGAAAUGUGAAGUAACACCGGAAGGAAAAUGCAGAGAAGUAACACUAGAAAAAUGAAAAUGGAAAUGAAAAGAAUCAUCCACCUUUCGGCCCAAACCAACAUCACAAAAUUAUGGGCGAGUCUCUUCUGGGAGGAAAGCGGCUCGUUCAGACCCAGGAACACCAGAAAGGAUGAUAGAAACAUCAAGAAAAGGAAAACAGAAAAGUCAUCCACCUUUCGGCCCCUGGGGCCGCAGGGUGGGUGACGGGUGAAUCUCCUCUGGGGAGAAGGAGGCUAACCCACACAGUCAAGAUAGAGGAUAGAGAAAGGAAAUUAAAUCAUCGAGAAAAGAAAAUGAAAUUACAAUAUCAAGAAAAUAACUAAAAACUCAUCGAGCUUUCGGCCCCUGGGGCCGCAGGGCGGGUGACGGGUGAGUCUUCUGGGGAGGAGGAGGCUCAUCCACAGCCAGCAACACCAACAGAAAGAAAAGAAAAGAAAACAUCAUGAGAAAAGAAAAGAAAACAUCAAGAGAAAAGAAAAGAAAAGGAAAAGAAAAGAAAAGAACAAAGUAAACAAAGCAAAACAAGACAAAACAAAAACAAAACAAAAUAAAACAAAUUAAAACAACAUUAUAAAUAUAUAAAUAAA